GCCUCCACUUCACAUUUGCGCCU
rnacentral:siRNA from 1 species